rnacentral:rRNA from 1 species
GAUGAACGCUGGCGGCGUGCUUAACACAUGCAAGUCGAACGAAGCACUUUAACCUGAUUCUUCGGAUGAAGGUUUUUGUGACUGAGUGGCGGACGGGUGAGUAACGCGUGGGUAACCUGCCUCAUACAGGGGGAUAACAGUUAGAAAUGACUGCUAAUACCGCAUAAGACCACAGAGCCGCAUGGCUCGGUGGGAAAAACUCCGGUGGUAUGAGAUGGACCCGCGUCUGAUUAGGUAGUUGGUGGGGUAACGGCCUACCAAGCCAACGAUCAGUAGCCGACCUGGAAGGGGGACCGGCAAAAUUGGAACUGGAAAACGGCCCAAAACCCACGGGAGGCAGCAGUGGGGAAUAUUGCACAAUGGGGGAAACCCUGAUGCAGCGACGCCGCGUGAGCGAAGAAGUAUUUCGGUAUGUAAAGCUCUAUCAGCAGGGAAGAAAAUGACGGUACCUGACUAAGAAGCACCGGCUAAAUACGUG